AUUGAACGCUGGCGGCAGGCCUAACACAUGCAAGUCGAACGAGCGGCGGACGGGUGAGUAAUGUCUGGGAAACUGCCCGAUGGAGGGGGAUAACUACUGGAAACGGUAGCUAAUACCGCAUACCAUCAGAUGUGCCCAGAUGGGAUUAGCUAGUAGGUGGGGUAAGGGCUCACCUAGGCGACGAUCCCUAGCUGGGCUGAGAGGAUGACCAGCCACACUGGAACUGAGACACGGGCCAGACUCCGACGGGAGGCAGCAGUGGGGAAUAUUGCACAAUGGGCGAAAGCCUGAUGCAGCCAUGCCGCGUGUGUGAAGAAGGCCUGCGGGUUGUAAAGCACUUUCAGCGGGGAGGCGUUACCUGCAGAAGAAGCACCGGCUAACUCCGUGCCAGCAGCCGCGGUAAUAC
rnacentral:rRNA from 1 species